CUAAAUGUUAAAUCUAAAUGUUAAAUCUAAAUGUUUCGGGUGAAACUAAAUAUUUAACUAAUAUGCAAAUUCAAAUGCCGGUAACAGGAAGUACCAAAAUAAAAGCUCGAGGAGGUCAGAGUGUGUUUAUAGUGGUAAAUAACGAAUAAAACCCAUCUUAUCCGGGGAAAUGGACUCUUGGACAUGGAAUAUCGUGUUAAUAACUACAUAAAAUAACAAACACGUUUGGAGAAACUUUAUUUGAAGAGUACUUUGAGUUUUUAGUGUCACUUUUAUGAAGACGAUUCACGAUAUUCCAUGUCCACGAGUGUUUAUUUGUAUAGCAGAGAGACAGAGAGAAGUGCUCUGUGGAUGAUGGG
rnacentral:misc_RNA from 1 species